UACGUAGGGUGCAGGCGUUAAUCGGAAUUACUGGGCGUAAAGCGUGCGCAGGCGGUUUCUUAAGUCAGAUGUGAAAGCCCCGGGCUUAACCUGGGAACUGCGUUUGAAACUGGGAGACUUGAGUGUGGCAGAGGGGGGUGGAAUUCCACGUGUAGCAGUGAAAUGCGUAGAUAUCGAGAGGAACACCUGCGGCGAAGGCGGGUUGCUGGGCUGACACUGACGCUGAGGCGCGAAAGCUAGGGGAGCGAACGGG
rnacentral:rRNA from 1 species